CUAACACUUUGGUUUCCACAUCUAAAGCCAGCCUCACAGGAAAAUAAGUUAUUACUUGCCCAGGAAUAAUUUAAGAAGUUCUAGAAAUACCUCACAGCCAAAAGCACCUACCUACCUCCCCCACAUCUGAAAUCCCAGCAUUUGAGAUUCUUUCCUUCCUGAUAUCCUGCUAGGAGGAGCAAGAGAAAGCUCUCACAACUUAAUGAAUUUAUCAGCUGCUUCCUUAUCCCAAGAAGCACAGAAGAAGAAGGGGCAGGAUGAGUGAAAGUCUGGAGGAGAAUAAAGACAAAAGUGCUGGGGAGCCUGGAAAACAAAUCUCUCCACCUCCAUACUCCACUUACGGUCAGUGGUUGGAUCGGCACUCCUCUGUAAAAUGUCAAAUGAAGACUACACCAGGGCUUCUUCAACCUUAGCAUGUGUAAGAAGACUUUGGCAGCUUGUCAAAAUGCAGAUUCCUACACACCCCCAGAGCAUCUGGCUCAGUAAGUCUGGGGUAGAGACCAAGAUGCUUGAACUCAAACAAGCCACCAGUUAGUGCUGAUGCAGCUGGUCUGGGAACCACCCUUUGACCAGCACUGGUCUACACCAGUAGUCUCUUCAGUGAAGGCUGGCAUCUCACCUUUAGAGAUUCCUUUCCUGGGGUAAAGAAAUGUGCAAAUUAAAUAUACCAGCCCAUGUGACCAACUAAAGAAAACUGUAUUCUUA